rnacentral:tRNA from 1 species
UCCCACAUAGCUCAGUCGGUAAAGAACCUGUCUGCAAUGCUGGAGACCUGGGUUCAAUUCCUGGGUUGGAA